UUUCGCAUUUAUGAUUAUAAAUUUUAAUACAAGAUUUUCUUUUGUGCCAAUUCGCCUUUGGUCGCGUUAUUCGCGUGUGUUUGCUCUCGCGCUCUAUUUGUUUACUCCUCUCUCAUUGAUUUCAGUUUCCUUUUUAGCAAAUAACAGCAAAUAAAACAAGAAAUAACAACAACAAAUAGAAGCCACGUGUUGAUAAACAUUAUUAAAAGGAGAUAUAACAUCAAACACACACAUAAUCUCUCUACUUAUCGCAACGAUUGCGUCCUACAUCAAAAAAAAAUAUACUACAUUUUGUUGUCAUUAAUUAGUUAAUUAAUUAACACGAUAAUAUCUAUAAUUUUCUUUAAUUUGAUUUUGGGUAAAACAUACCGUUUUUUGUAUGAAAUUAAUUCCGUCACGUCGUCUACUACAAUUUGUCAACUUUAAAACUAAAGAAAAUAAAAAAACGAAAAAUCUACUAGGCUUGGUCCUCUGGAAUAAUUAAACACUCGUCCCUCCUGCGAUCAAGGUAAGCCAAGUCGUGACAAUGUAAUGCCCAGCAAAUAUUCGAAAAA